CGCGUAGGUAAUCAAUCCUUACAUUUGGGAUAACAUCGGGAAACUGGUGCUAAUACCGAAUGGUCUUCAUUGCUUUGGGGCGAUGGAGUAAAGGUGGCCUCUUCAUGAAAGCUACCGUGUAGGGAUGAGCCUGCGUACCAUUAGCUAGUAGGUGGGGUAAUGGCCCACCUAGGCUACGAUGGUUAGCGGGUCUGAGAGGAUGAUCCGCCACACUGGAACUGAAACACGGACCAG
rnacentral:rRNA from 1 species